UACGUAGGGGGCAAGCGUUGUUCGGAAUUAUUGGGCGUAAAGGGUGAGUAGGCGGUUUGUUAAGUCGGUUGUGAAAGCCCGGGGCUCAACCCCGGAGGGUCGACCGAUACUGGCAGGCUAGAGUACAGAAGAGGUAACUGGAAUUCCCGGUGUAGCGGUGAAAUGCGUAGAUAUCGGGAGGAACAUCAGUGGCGAAAGCGGGUCUCUGGGCCGAUACUGACGCUGAGGAGCGAAAGCGUGGGGAGCGAACAGG
rnacentral:rRNA from 1 species